GAUGAACGCUGGCGGCGUGCCUAAUACAUGCAAGUCGAGCGAACAGACGAGGAGCUUGCUCCUCUGACGUUAGCGGCGGACGGGUGAGUAACACGUGGAUAACCUACCUAUAAGACUGGGAUAACUUCGGGAAACCGGAGCUAAUACCGGAUAAUAUAUUGAACCGCAUGGUUCAAUAGUGAAAGACGGUUUUGCUUACACUUAUAGAUGGAUCCGCGCCGCAUUAGCUGGUUGGUAAGGUAACGGCUUACCAAGGCAACGAGGCGUACCCGACCUGAGAGGGUGAUCGGCCACACUGGAACUGAGACACGGUCCAGACUCCUACGGGAGGCAGCAGUAGGGAAUCUUCCGCAAUGGGCGAAAGCCUGACGGAGCAACGCCGCGUGAGUGAUGAAGGUCUUCGGAUCGUAAAACUCUGUUAUUAGGGAAGAACAAAUGUGUAAGUAACUAUGCACGUCUUGACGGUACCUAAUCAGAAAGCCACGGCUAACUACGUG
rnacentral:rRNA from 1 species